rnacentral:tmRNA from 1 species
GGGCUUUCAAUCCUGUGGCCGGCUGCCUAUAUUCGAGGCGUCAGCUUGUCUGACUAUGGCGAUAAACAGGCGAUGCAAUAAGCCGUUCGGACCCGGGGGCAGUACCCGGCGCCUCCACCAAAAGCCGCCGUCGAUGGCGGCGGCUUCUGAUGGGGGCGAAACAGGAUCGACGAAGGUGUAAAGAUCGUUCUUUUGCCCGGCAUUGUACCGCCGUUAUCGGGCUAAACUUAUAGUUGCCAACGACAACUAUGCUGAGGCACGUCUCGCUGCUUAAUGCGGCGCGAUAGUCUCGAAUCAAGCCCUGUGGGUUAGCACCUUCAGGCGGGGUCCGGAGGCACCUGGCAACAGAAGCCUCCACU